rnacentral:lncRNA from 1 species
CCGGACACGGCCGGGGUACAACGACCUUCGACAAAAGGCCGUUGGAACGAGGCGAGGUCGAGAGAGACGCAUAAAAGGGAGGGUUUUGAGUUAGUUGGGGAGAGACCCCGGCUAGGAGUUGGUAUGUGUACACUGUCACUGUUCGUGUUUAGAAUAAAGCUAUAAGCUGUUUACCGUUUACAUCACCGUUACGUCUACUAUCUACGCCUACUGUUUACGAGCGUACAUCCAACCCUACAUUUGGCGCCGUUUGACCAAAAAAAUCUUCGUCUCCCUUUGCGACACAACGCAAAGUGCUACCACUGCGAUGCACGAAAGUCGAGAGAAACACUGAGCGAAGACAGCUGUAAUGAUGAAGAAGAAGAAGAAGAAGAAAGAAGACGAAAACCUAUGACUAUUGGACUAUUGUGACGUUAGAAUGAAGCGUUGCCGUUUUUCGUCAUACGAGCUUUGCGUAUGAAAAUGCCUACGAACAAUGAUGUCGCCGCUAAAGCGCACAUACGCCAGAACUUAUCUUGUACCACCUGGUUAUCGACGACGCGAAGCACAGCAGAAUACGAUCACGACGACACGAAGGGAGGAACAGCGAAAUAUAUUCACGACAAAGCGAGGAACAGCACCCGAGAUUCAGCAAAUCUGCAGAUCGCCGGAUAACGCACGGAACAAUGCAUUAGUACAACAUAGCACAGAGCACAGCACCCGAUAUAUUAACUGCAUAUCGCUGGAGUCUACCGCUGGCGACCAAGCAAGAGAGAACGCAAUGGAUGAACGACAUUGCAAUACGUAUUACACGGGUGAGUGAAGCAAUCUAGUGUCGGCGGCUAUUCUCAAUUUUCGUAAUUAAACUGGAAACUAGUUUUCAAACCACAUGUUUUAUAAUACACGAGUGUGUUAGCGAAAUACUAAUUAAAGCACUUUUCCUACCUAUAACUUCUCACCACCACCCCACCACCACCCCCUGGCUUAACGAGUUUUAUAAACUGUGAUGUACAAUGCCCGAAUUCGUACGUAAAUACGUAGAAUAGUACCAAUCUGUGUAGAACUUUAAGAAUGCGCCAGGUGUACGCAUUUACUUGCCGUAGAAGGCAAGGUUGGCUGAUAUAAAAGCCAUGAUGACUCAACGCAUAUAGUCGUAAGAGAACGAGUCGAGGUGCUAGUUAGACGCACCAGUUUUAAUAUAAGAGAGGGGACAUGGUACUCCCCUGGAAUAGCUGAGCAUGGUCCACGAAAGUAAAAGUUGGCCAACAGCGAUAGCAUUUCGAAACAACGGUACCGUAUACGUAACGAGGUCAGCAGCAGGACCCGGGGCUAUUGUGUAGAAACAGCGAAAUUAACUCGGCACGCCAUCCAAUUCUAACCGUUGAGGGCACCUACGUGGCUAGUUUAUUUUUAUAUACAGGGGUUUAAAAUGUCACCCAUGUUAUAGAUAAAUGGCUACUCUCAUUACAGUGUAAGGUCCACUGGGAAUGUACCCCCCUUAGGGCCCGAAACACCCACCCGCCAAAACACCUACCCGCCAACCCCUUCACCCGCCCAUCCACCAUCUACCUGUUUAUUCCCAAAAGUGUUUGUUGUUGUUAUGUUGGAACAAAUUUAUAAUAAUGAAAGCCGACACGGUUGUUUCACAGCCUAUCUGAAUGUAUGAAUGUAUGUAUGUAUGUAGGUAUGUUUCACUGCCUACCAGGCAUUAAUAUCUCUGAAGUGAGAAAAAGAGGUAUUUUUUAUAUUAAGACGAGCAGAGCUAUUUGAUAGAGAGGUAUCUGAUUACAUGCCUGAGAGAUUUGACCCAUUUUUCGAAUUCACGGGGGGAGUCUUUGAUAGAGACCUACUAUAUCCACCUCAGGGCAUACGACCCAGACGACAAAUACCCAGAAAACGUGCGGCGUCUCGAGGUAUUGCACCAACGCAUGCUGCAGUGUACUCUGGUAUAGUUGUCACCGUUGCCACAACCGACCCCACGGCCGCCACUUCAUGGGGACCCCUUCGCCGAGGUCGGACGCAAACGACGUCGAGUUGCAGGGAGCCUACUUGGAUGGCUUCUAAGUUGGUUUGUUGGUCGCUGGUUUGUAUGGCUUCGCCAUUAGGCAGGGUUAUUAAGUAGGUAAGGGCAAACUGUUCCUUCUUCCCUUUUCCCCGCAGACUAACGGGUUCUGGCAGUAGUACUGAAAUAAACAAACGGGUACGUUUCCAUUUCAAAUUAAAAUAUAAAAUGUUUUCCACGUGAACUAUUUUUCUAAAAUUUCUCUCACUAUCAUUUUCUCAUAUGGUUCUCAUAUUAUUAUUGUGUACGGAAGUACAACCUUUGCCGCGAAUUUUUUGUUUUAUGCAUUUAGUCGUUUGAUACGCGCGGUUGAAAUAACAUUCGCAAACGAUAACAUUUCGGACGCGAACUGUAACGUUUGUACUUUUACAUUUUAAACACCCAUUUUUAAAAUUUUAAUGAACAGUAUAUGAUGCGAUUGGUGACGGUUUGACAUAUGAAUAUCAUAGUAACUUUUAUAGUUUCAACGAACAAUAUAGGAUGCGAUUGGGGACGGUUAGACGUACGAAUAAGCGUAAAUUUUGAAAUUGUAACGCGCAGUAUAUCACGCGAUUGGUGACGGGACGACGCGAGUAUUACGGGAUGGCAUUACACACGGGUAUUUAUGUUACAUUGUCGUUGCAUGGAAUUUAGUUAAAAUUGUAUUUGGCAUUAUAUUAUCAUUGAGUCUAAUCGAGUUGAAUUGUAUUUUAUUGUAUUGAAAUGUGUUAAAUUGUAUUUUAUUGUAUUGAAAUGUAUUGAAUUGUAUUGAAAUGAAUUGUAUGGUAUUAGUUGACAUGUUACGCGAUGGCGGUUACAAGGAACACUAGAGUAAGAUUAUACACCUAAACGGUUGCAAUUGCAAGCAAAACCUAUCACGACGAUAGCACAGAAAGUCUUUUUUGGUAAAAAAAAUUUUAAUAAUCAGUUCCUCCAGUCAGGAGACUGGUUUGAAGCCGAUAAAAAUCGACUUUUCUAGGGCGGGGUGAAAUGUAGAACCGUGGGAUACCUAGAAACUGAUAUUUCACACACCGCAUAGGUGAUUAACGAAAGGGGCGAGGAACGGCUCUGCUGACCACCAACCCCAUACUCGGGGGAACCAUAAAUGAACUAGCAUUGUCAGCAGACGUGACCGACCGAGGCCAACCUGAAUUCGGCGACCAGUUGUCAUAAAGGGAAACCUUAAUGACAAGUGGUCACGACACGGCCAGACACGGCCGGACACGGCCGGGGUACAACGACCUUCGACAAAAGGCCGUUGGAACGGGGCGAGGUCGAGAGAGACGCAUAAAAGGGAGGGUUUUGAAUUAGUUGGGGAGAGACCCCGGCUAGGAGUUGGUAUGUGUACACUGUCACUGUUCGUGUUUAGAAUAAAGCUAUAAGCUGUUUACCGUUUA